rnacentral:rRNA from 1 species
UGAGGAAUAUUGGACAAUGGGUGAGAGCCUGAUCCAGCCAUCCCGCGUGAAGGACGACUGCCCUAUGGGUUGUAAACUUCUUUUAUACUGGGAUAAACCUACCCUCGUGAGGGUAGCUGAAGGUACAGUAUGAAUAAGCACCGGCUAACUCCGUGCCAGCAGCCGCGGUAAUACGGAGGGUGCAAGCGUUAUCCGGAUUUAUUGGGUUUAAAGGGUCCGUAGGCGGGCUGUAAGUCAGUGGUGAAAUCUCAUAGCUUAACUAUGAAACUGCCAUUGAUACUNCGGGUCUUGAGUAAAGUAGAAGUGGCUGGAAUAAGUAGUGUAGCGGUGAAACUGCAUAGAUAUUACUUAGAACACCAAUUGCGAAGGCAGGUCACUAUG